UACGUAGGCAGCAAGCGUUGUUCGGAGUUACUGGGCGUAAAGAGUGCAUAGGCGGUGCUCUAAGUUUGGUGUGAAAUCUCCCGGCUUAACUGGGAGGGUGCGCCGAAAACUGGAGUGCUUGAGUAUGGGAGAGGCAAGCGGAAUUCCUGGUGUAGCGGUGAAAUGCGUAGAUAUCAGGAGGAACACCUGUGGUGUAGACAGCUUGCUGGACCAUCACUGACGCUGGAGGCACGAAAGCGUGGGGAGCGAACAGG
rnacentral:rRNA from 1 species